AUUGAACGCUGGCGGCAUGCCUUACACAUGCAAGUCGAACGGCAGCACGGGAGCAAUCCUGGUGGCGAGUGGCGAACGGGUGAGUAAUAUAUCGGAACGUGCCCAGUCGUGGGGGAUAACGUAGCGAAAGCUACGCUAAUACCGCAUACGAUCUACGGAUGAAAGCGGGGGAUCGCAAGACCUCGCGCGAUUGGAGCGGCCGAUAUCAGAUUAGCUAGUUGGUGGGGUAAAAGCUCACCAAGGCGACGAUCCGUAGCUGGUCUGAGAGGACGACCAGCCACACUGGAACUGAGACACGGUCCAGACUCCUACGGGAGGCAGCAGUGGGGAAUUUUGGACAAUGGGCGCAAGCCUGAUCCAGCAAUGCCGCGUGCAGGAUGAAGGCCUUCGGUUGUAACUGCUUUGUACGGUAACGAAACGGUGAGCUCUAAUAAAGACUUGCUAAUGACGGUACCGUAAGAAUAAGACACCGGCUAACUACGUGCC
rnacentral:rRNA from 1 species